AUUGAACGCUGGCGGCAGGCUCAACACAUGCAAGUCGAGCGGGGUGAUGGUGCUUGCACUAUCACUUAGCGGCGGACGGGUGAGUAAUGCUUAGGAAUCUGCCUAUUAGUGGGGGACAACAUCGCGAAAGGGAUGCUAAUACCGCAUACGUCCUACGGGAGAAAGCAGGGGAUCACUUGUGACCUUGCGCUAAUAGCUGAGCCUAAGUCGGAUUAGCUAGUUGGUGGGGUAAAGGCCUACCAAGGCGACGAUCUGUAGCGGGUCUGAGAGGAUGAUCCGCCACACUGGGACUGAGACACGGCCCAGACUCCUACGGGAGGCAGCAGUGGGGAAUAUUGGACAAUGGGGGGAACCCUGAUCCAGCCAUGCCGCGUGUGUGAAGAAGGCCUUAUGGUUGUAAAGCACUUUAAGCGAGGAGGAGGCUCUUUUGGUUAAUACCCAAGAUGAGUGGACGUUACUCGCAGAAUAAGCACCGGCUAACUCUGUGCCAGCCGCCGCCGUAA
rnacentral:rRNA from 1 species